GCAUCGCUUUGAGCCCCUCAAAACAGUUUCUUCUGAAAUUUCAACGCGAUCGGUACUGUCUAAAGACCAUCGGACUAUCAAUUCUCGCUUGUUAAUUGUUGUUUGCUCCCCAGCUUUCGAAUCUUGCUGUUACAUUUGCGAAUUUUUGCUUGCGCUUGCCUUUUAUUAUUAGACGAUUGACAAUUCUCAUAAUCGCGGCUUAUCGCAGGCUCCACGGCGGACAAUAACAAGCAAUUACACAACAAGACGGCAAAUUUGCAUAAAUAAAUAUUUUAUAUACAUAGUCUCGUUUGCGGAAGCUGCUCUUCGGCCGGAAAAUGCUGUCACAAGUUAUCGUUACAAUCAUCGCUAUAACAGUUAUAUUGAUGUCGAUGCUCAGUCACGCUGCACCGGUGCUUGGGUAUCAAACCAUUUUCGAAGACGAUACCCGCAGUCAAGGCCGCCCCAAGCCGAUUUUCGUGCAUUGUGACGAAAUAGGAAAUCACUUGAAUUGUAUGCUCUAUUGUAAGAGCAGGGGCUACAAUACCGGAAGUUGUGGUGGCGAUUUUACGUGUAACUGUUUUUAGCUUUAAUUAUUCGAACUUAUUUAUUUUUGUAUAGUUAAUUAAUAUUAUGCUAAGGAUCUUUGUAAAUUUGUUCUAAAUACAUUUGUAAUAACAAAAAAUAUUAUUCAACUUUA